rnacentral:rRNA from 1 species
GCAUGAAAAAAGUUUACUUAAAAAAAAACUACUCAUCUGAUCUCAGAAGCUAAGCAGGGUCGGGCCUGGUUAGUACUUCGAUGGGAGACCACCUAGGAAGACCAGGUGCUGUAGGUG